AUUGAACGCUGGCGGCAUGCCUUACACAUGCAAGUCGAACGGCAGCACGGGAGCAAUCCUGGUGGCGAGUGGCGAACGGGUGAGUAAAGCAUCGGAACGUGCCCAGUCGUGGGGGAUAACGUAGCGAAAGCUACGCUAAUACCGCAUACGACCUGUGGAUGAAAGCGGGGGACCGGAAGGCCUCGCGCGCUUGGAGCGGCCGAUGUCAGAUUAGGUAGUUGGUGAGGUAAAGGCUCACCAAGCCGACGAUCUGUAGCUGGUCUGAGAGGACGACCAGCCACACUGGGACUGAGACACGGCCCAGACUCCUACGGGAGGCAGCAGUGGGGAAUUUUGGACAAUGGGCGCAAGCCUGAUCCAGCAAUGCCGCGUGCAGGAUGAAGGCCUUCGGGUUGUAAACUGCUUUUGUACGGAGCGAAACGGCUUCCACUAAUACUGGGGGCUAAUGACGGUACCGUAAGAAUAAGCACCGGCUAACUACGUGCCAGCAGCCGCGGUAAAAC
rnacentral:rRNA from 1 species